rnacentral:rRNA from 1 species
GACGAGGGAUCCUAGCGUUGUUCGGAAUUAUUGGGCGUAAAGCGGGUGUAGGUGGCUUGGUAAGUCAGGUGUGAAAGCCCAGGGCUUAACCCUGGAAGUGCAUUUGAUACUGCUGAGCUUGAGUGUAGGAGAGGUUAUUAGAAUUCUUGGUGUAGUGGUGAAAUACGUAGAUAUCAAGAGGAAUACCAGAGGCGAAGGCGGAUAACUGGCCUAACACUGACACUCAGACCCGAAAGCGUGGGGAUCAAACAGG